UAACUAAGCGGAGGAAAAGAAACUAACAAGGAUUCCCCUAGUAAGGGCGACUGAAGCGGGAUCAGCCCAGAUUGUAAACUGACCUUAAUCAAGGUUGGGUUGUAGUCUAAAGAGGCGACGCCAGGCAAGGUCCGGGGAGAAGUCCCUUGGAACAGGGCAUCGGAGAGGGUGACAAUCCCGUCUGUGCCUCGGACCGCGUCGUACGGUGCGUCUUCGACGAGUCGGUUUGCUUGGGAUUGCAGACCAAACGGGUGGUAAAUUCCAUCUAAGGCUAAAUACGGGUGGGAGACCGAUAGCGAACAAGUACCGUGAGGGAAAGAUGCAAAGAACUUUGAAAAGAGAGUUAAAAAGGGCCUGAAACUGGUAAGAGGGAACCGAACGGCAGAAGUGGUGAUGGGCGCGUAUUUUCCGCCGGGCUCUUGGCCGGCGUACUUGUGCGCGUCCGUAGGUCAGCGUGGGUUGGGGCGUGGGAGUCGUUCAUGGGAAGGUCUUCGGGCCAAUCUCGUGUUCAGGCCGCGCCUGAGACCUUCGGUGACAAAAUUCUUCCGUUCACCCCG
rnacentral:rRNA from 1 species